rnacentral:rRNA from 1 species
GACGAACGCUGGAGGCGUGCUUAACACAUGCAAGUCGAACGAUGAAAUGGAGCUUGCUCCAUGGAUUAGUGGCGAACGGGUGAGUAACACGUGAAUAACCUGCCCUUAAUUUUGGAAUAACCCAGGGAAACCUGGGCUAAUACCGGAUAAGUAAACCUGUGGCAUCACAUGGUUUUGGAAAGUUUUUCGAUUAAGGAUGGAUUCGCGGCCUAUCAGCUUGUUGGUGAGGUAAUGGCUCAUCAAGGCGACGACGGGUAGCCGGCCUGAGAGGGUGAACGGCCGCACUGGGACUGAGACACGGCCCAGACUCCUACGGGAGGCAGCAGUGGGGAAUAUUGCGCAAUAGACGAAAGUCUGACGCAGCGACGCCUCGUGGGGGACGAAGGUCUUCGGAAUGUAAACCUCUUUCAGCAGGGACGAAGCGAAAGUGACGGUACCUGCAGAAGAAGCACCGGCUAACUAUGUGCCAGCAGCCGCCGCAG